GGCGGGGCUUCCACGGAGGUCUGGUGUAGGCCUCUGUGAAUCCUGAACUCCAGUAGGGCCCAAGCCAGCCAGGAAGGAGGAGGCAGCCAGAGAGGCCUCCACUGUUCUCUGCAGCAGAAGACCCCCUGCUGCCAGACGUCUAUCACCGAAGAAUCCAUGGUUCUAAAAGUCAGAAUUGGGAACAAGAACCUGAAUCGAGACGAUUGCCACCAAAUGGUCUUGUGAGAUGAGGGACAAGAUUCCCAUCCUAUAUGUGGCCGGGCUGGCCGGGAGAGGGGAGAUUGCAUCUCCGCCCGCAGUAGACAGAGUGUGGGACAGAUCCAGAAUGGAGUAGAAAUCCAGAUGUAGUAUGUUGUCUAGAAUUUUGGUAGAUGGGACAAGAUGAAGGUGAAGGGGUGCCUAUUGAAGAAGCUGUUGAAGCCUCUCUUUCCCAUUUCAAAUAGACAACAGCCAUCCCCUCAGGUAAAAGCCCAGAGUCUCCACAGCAGGAGAGAUGGCCCUCGCUCCUGACUCUGGGGACCACCUUGUCUCUCACUUUAGAAACUGCUCCCUGGAGAUAGGAGAGAAGAGAACAUCUGGAUGAAGAUGACUUAUGGGGUUCAGCUCCUCUCAAGGCCAAACUACACAUUAGCAGGCAUGUGCCUUCCUUCUUGAACAAAUGGAAAUAGAUACCAGUGGAUACCAUUCCACUCUCUAUGCAAGGAAUGUAUUCCAUGCAUAGAAUACAUGACAAGGAAUAAUGACAAUAAAUGACAAGAAAUACGCUUUCAAUUGUGGACCUCCCAUGCACUGGCAUUUCUGUUAAUAACUUUUUUUUCUUUUAAUAAAGAAAUAUCAGGUGUCUAUUUUACAUGCUGUCUUUGGACCAGAGCUCCAGGAUGCAGCCAACAGAUGUCAAUGGCCAUUCUGAAGGAUGGUGGCCAUUUUAAAUUAUGGUGGCCAUUUUGUUGACCACAGUGUAUAAUAUCACAAUGGUUGAUUGUUGGACAUAUGAUAAAAUAAAAUGGCCACAAGCAUGUGGUGGCUGUGCCCUGACACUCCCACCAACAAGUUAGAACACAUUUGUGCCCUAGAAAGGUCAGAGUGAGUACAAGAGCAGGCAUUGCUCCCCUUUGUCUUAUUUACAGGGUUCUGACAUCCAGGAGGCUGAGAUACCACAGGUCAGCACUAGGGGUCAGGAGCUGGACAUGGAAAGCAUCAGCAAUUCCCCGGGGUACUCGUUUCUCGGCUGAGGGGCAGCAGAGAACCACCCUUAAGAGCCCAGGGGGUUAUGGGGCUAGAUGGUUUAGCAAGAAGCCUGUGGGUGGGUGAGGGGAGAGCAAGUCUCAAAGCUCUGAGCACCAUGGAGGGUUGUUUUUCUCCAUCUCCUUUCACAAUAAUGGAAGUGAAGAUCGCCUGAUAAAAGGCAGCAAGUAGAGGACAGAUGAGAGCAGACCCUCAUUAUGACAAGCUGUAACAAGAUAUAUGGAAUUCAUUGCAACAAGAUAUGCUGUUGGCCACUAGCUUCAAAUUUUUUUAGAAGUGAUCCUCUUGGAGAAGAUGCCCAUUAAAGGGUUUAUCCUGUUGCUUUAAUUACAAUAGAAAAACAAUUAUGUUUGUGCCAGCAAUAUCCAUCUUUUCAAUGGCAUGCGGCAAGUUGUAUCCUUCUAAAUGACAUUUUUAAUGGGUACCCAAGGUGCCUUCUGCAAGAUCUGCCAGUAAGUUACAGGCAACCUCCUUUACCUCACUCUCUUGUCAGAAAGGCAAACAUGACAUCAUCGCAACAGCUUGGGUGAAUGUGUUUAAAUGGCAUUGCCCAUUGUGAGUGCUUUUAAAACAUUCCUUGCUUUUAAAAUAUGCAACACACAUGCAACAACACCUUAUGUUUCCUGCUGCAAGAAUGUGAAACUCAUAUUUUUCUCCAUAAAGGAAGUUAUUUGCCACUGCAAUCAUUGUUUUUGAUAGAAUCCUAUCAUUUUAUUAUCUGUUUUGUUUGUUUGUUAAUUUGAUUUAUUUUAUUUGUAUGCCACCUGUCUCAGCACAGCUCAGGGAGGUUUUCAAGCAAAAGUUCAACCUGUUUAAAAUUCAACAUAAAACACAAAAUGAAAAGCAGCUCAUUAAAAAAAAAAAGAGAACAUAAAACUCAUUGCAAAAACUAUUUUAAACCAAACAAAUAUGGAUAAAAGCCAGGCUGAAAAGAGGGGUUAUAUGGCUCCCUUGAAGGCCUUCAAAGAUGAUAACUGAGCAAAAUAUAACAUACCCUGCUAAAUGAGCAAAGAGGGCCCAUGAUUUCAGGAUAUAUGAGAAUCAGGACUCUCUCCCCAGGAGGUCAGGAAUGAACAUCCAUUUUUUCAUGUGUAUGGGCUGUGGGUUGUGUGUGUCCCCAGUAGGAGACAGAAUGUAGAAUGGAUCCAGUUCUAGAUGCUACAGCAUGGGAGGGAUUUUUAUUGGUGGGAUGGGAGGAAAUGCAGGGCUCCAGUAUGCAUUGACAGUUGAGCAUCACUGAAAACAUGAUGAAAUACUCUUUUGGCCAGAUGUGCCAAAUGCCUUUUGUUCUAAGAGGCACUUCUUAGAGGGUCAUCCAUUAAUUCAUCCAUCCAAGGUGGUGAAUGCUCCUGUUUCUCUUCCCUCUGCUUCCCAGUUCUCCUCUUCAGACAAGGAUGACACAAUGUAUGAUAUCAGCAGCACCUUACGCCCAGAGAUGAACAUCAGCAAAGAUGAAGGAAGAGGACAGCUGGCCCCAGAUUGGUUCUUCUCAGUCCAUCUGGGAGAGGGGAGAACAACAAAGAAGAUCGAGCAGAUCAUCCAGUCUGCAGAGCAUCCCAGUGAGGUGAAGGAGAGGUUCCCUGAAUUCCUGGUCAGCCUGGUCAAUAAGAUCCUCACAAGCCUGCAGAGCAUCACUGAGGGAGCCGAGAACCAAGAGUCAAAACCUGUCUCCUGAGUAAGUCAUGGCAAUGGGGAACGCGGGGGCAAAAAGCCCAUCAUUCUGGGAGGGCAGGCUAGGGACACAUGUCCCAGGCCCCAGUCUGAUGUGUGAGGAGCAUUUCUGGCCUAUUGGAGUGACUCUGGCACAAUAGUCCCUUCCCUCAGCUUCACAGGAAAGACCCCAGAGUUUGCAGCCCAUUUGGCUUUGGAAAGAGUCUUAAAGUAUGUCUGCCAUGGUUUUUUAAAAAACAACAUGUUUUUAAAAACAUGUUUAAAACAUGUCUGUGGGGAAAGUCAUUCCAGUCAGAGGUGGGGCAAAGCGAAGAGAUUGUGCUAUAGGUUUGCCAACGUUUUCUCUAGCUCUACACCUGUGCCUUGAUUAGCAUCCUGUUAGGAAUAACUUAAGUAGUGAGAUAAAUUGAGGGGAAAUCUUUAGCUUUGGGUCAGCUUCAGGGUCAGCAUUGUGGAGAACCUGCUGAGGGCCAUCAGAAGACCCCACUGCUUGCCUCUGAGACCACCUCUGGAUCCAUAACAUUGCUGGGCCCAGGAGGAGGUCUGCUUAAAAGAUGGCAACCCUCAUGUAGCAACCCUUUGCCUGCCCCUCUGUCCUUCCCUACAGCCCCUCUUCUGCCCUUCAGGUCACCAUAUUCAUCCCUCUUAUCUUGCUCCAUCUGAUUCCUCCUAGCUUCUGCUCACCUGUGGGAACAUCAACAUAGCCCCAAGUAAUGUUCUUACUAUGAAUCUGGAAAACAAGUUUAUAUUAGUUCUUUUGAUUUCAAUCCUUAGUGACAUUUCUUUGAGAGUUUAGCCUCCUAUCACUCAAGUCAAGAUAUUCUAGGCCUUGCAGUAAAGAGUCUGAAUCCCACCCACCACCUCACUUCUCAUUUUACUGAGAUGAAGACUUCCUUUUAGGAGGAGGAAACUGGCACAUGAGGUGGGAAACAAUUCACCCCCAUGGUCUCUCUCCCAUGAUCCAACCUAGUCCUUCCCUUGCCCACUCCCUCUACAUUGUCCAGACCCUCUUAGAGAGGUGGCACAGGUGCCCCCAGAGAAGACCUGCUGGGAAACCUUGUGAUCCCCUCACAGCUGCACCCAGGUUGUGGCCCUCUUGGUGAGGUGAAGGCAAGUGCUGAGAUUUCUCAGGAAGACUGGGGGCUGUAGGGAAAUUCGGGUCAGGUCUGCUCUCUCCAGGCCUCCCACUCAGGACUCAGCAAGGGCCUCUGGUGUAUUGCAGGGCCCUCCUCCACACAACAUCGUCCACAGUGCCCAAGCUGAAAGAAUAUCUGGCUUCCAUCUUCAUCCUGGAGGAAGAUCCAGAGAAGCAUUCCCUUGCAGAGGAGGCCUUCGCUGUUGAGGUCAGAAGCAUGUUUGCCAGUGUAGGCUUCACUGAGAAGAGGGUCUGGUCCAGGGGCUUAUGGGUGUUGUGCUCCUUUAACCUAUUUUAGCUGCUCAUGAAAUACCAACAUGUCACUUCCUUGGAGAAGAUCUGGACACUCCUUGUAGCCUGGCUAGUCCUCCCCAGCCAGACCAUCUUUCACCUCUGUAGGAGGCAGCUAAGAUCCGAGGGGCAGCCAUGAGGAAACAUCUGGAUCUCCUGCAGCACUGCCACCAUCACAGGGGUACAAACCAGAACAUCACAAUCCUCAUUGCAGUGCUGAUGUGCGUGGAGGACAAAGAUCUGGAGGUAGCACAAGUGAGGCCCCACCUGUCCCUGCCUCCCCGUUUAGGCUUCCCCAAAUCUAGGCCCGAGAGUUAGCCUCAUGGGGUGGUGAAUCAACUUGCAGCCCAGCUGUGGCCUUUCAGAGAAUGGAACUUUCUGCCCCCUUGCACUUUCCCUUCCAAGAGUUCAUCCAUGGCCCUUCUUUCCUGGGAUGAGGCAAAGCUUCCGCUCUCCUGCUUCCCCUCUUAAAUCUGGCUCCCCCAAAGUCCUUCCCUCAGCUGUGCUUCAACCAAUAGAAGACCAUUGAAAUCUAAAAUCUUCCCUACCGUUUGGAGCAACCUAAAAUGUUGCUUUGAAUCCCCGAGUCCAGCGGCCACAGUAAGUGCUGAGAGGGAGGCCUUUCUCACCCCCUUUCUGUCCUCUUCUUUUAAAAAGCCAGCCAAGGACAAUCUGCACCUGCUGGCGGAAGCCUUCCAGUGGCACCUGAAAGGUAGCCUGCUGGUGCGGGAGACUUAUAGUCUGCAGGAGCUGCUCCAUAAGAUCUUCAAGCGUGUGAUUUGGCAGCUCAGCUCCGGAAAUGCAGUGAGAUGGAGACCUACAACACCCUGGGGUUCUUCCACAGUGAGCAGGCUUCAGUGAGAAGAAUGACUGCCAUGCUCAUCAAAAGGCAGUAUCCACACUGAAGGGAAUGUGGACACCUACCAUGCUGGACUGGAGAACUUGGUUGUGAUCAGGACCCCGAAGUUAGGCAAGUUGCCUUCAAGACAGAGAAGAUCUUGUGGAAGGCCUUUCCCCUCCACUCUUGGCAUGGGCUGCCGUUUGGUGCUUCUGGGUGGGCUGUAAGAGGAAAAGAUACCUGCCAGAGUAGGAUGAUCUCACCUGACCAACUGAAUGGAUGGGCAUACAAUUAUGAAAUCUGGCAUACAUGAAGUCCACACCGAAAGGACUCAGUGUAGCUAAUUUGAAACACACAGCCACUUUUUCAUACUGUAUUUACAAACACUCAUCUGGAUCAGCAUCUCCAUUCGGUCAAGAAGUACAAUCUGGAAGUGUGAGAAAAAUCACCCCCAAUGGUGAGCAUGACAAGGGGGCUUAAAAGCACUGAAAGGAAGGUGAAGCUCUGCUACAUAUAAGUCGGAUCUUUCCUAAACUAUGGCAGUCUAGGAACAUAGGAAGCUGCCUUUUACUGAGUCAGACCCUUGAUCCAUCUUGCUCUGUAUUGUCUACACUCUACACUGACUGGCAGUGGCUUCUCCAAGGUGGCAGGCAGGAGUUUUCCCCAGCCCUCCUUGGACAUGCAGCCAGGGAUUGAACCUGUGGCCCUUUUCAUGCAAAUGCUCUUCCACUGAGCUAUCGCCCCAUCCUCUAAGGGAAAUAUCUUAUGCUCAGAUGUAGUCACCCAUCCAAAUGCAAACCAAGACAGAGCCUGCUUAACAACAGGGACAAUUCAUGCUUGCUACCACAGGACCUUAAGUGGCACAGCGGGGAAAUGCUUGAUUAACAAGCAGAAGGUUGUUGGUUCGAAUCCCCGCUGGUAUGUUUGCUCGACUAUGGGAAACACCUAUAUCGGGCAGCAGCGAUAUAGGAAGAUGUUGAAAGGCAUCAUCUCAUACUGCGUGGGAGGAGGCAAUGGCAAACCCCUCCUGUAUUCUACCAAAGAAAACCACAGGGCUCUGUGGGUGCCAGGAGUCGAAAAUUACUUCAUAGCACACUUUACCUUACCACAGGACCAGCUGUCCUUCCCCAAUAAGACUUUUCUACUGCAUAUUUUAACAUUGUAGAAAGAGGAGCUAACUGUUCCAUCUUAUUUAUUUGUUAUUUCUCUGUGUAAACCACCCUGAGCCAUUUUUGGAAGGGCGGUAUAGAAAUAGAAUAAAUAAAUAAAUAAAUAAAUUACAAUUGUACAAAGAGAG